GCCCAGGUGGUGGAAUUGGUAGACACGAGGGACUUAAAAUCCCUUGCCUAUUGCAGGCGUGUGGGUUCAAGUCCCACCCCGGGUA
rnacentral:tRNA from 3 species